AAGUCGUAACAAGGUCUCCGUUGGUGAACCAGCGGAGGGAUCAUUACAGAGUUAUCCAACUCCCAAACCCAUGUGAACUUAUCUCUUUGUUGCCUCGGCGCAAGCUACCCGGGACCUCGCGCCCCGGGCGGCCCGCCGGCGGACAAACCAAAACUCUUGUUAUCUUAGUUGAUUAUCUGAGUGUCUUAUUUAAUAAGUCAAAACUUUCAACAACGGAUCUCUUGGUUCUG
rnacentral:misc_RNA from 1 species